rnacentral:tRNA from 1 species
AUUACUUUGGCAGAAUAGUGCGCUUGAUUUAGGAUCAUUUUAUGUAAAUUUUUAUUACAAGUAAUA